ACCUCACAGUGCUUUGGAGAACCACCACUAUGAGUGUCUUCAGCUUCAAUAAGAUCGUUCUUUUCGAAGUUAUUCUUCUAAUUGGAUUUGUCCAUGGAGACUGCAACUCACCUCUUGGUUUACAAAGCGAGGAUAUUCCUAAUUCAGACAUCACCGC